AACCUUAUGGACCUGCGGGCGUAUACCUGCGGAAGGAUCAUUACCACACCUGUUUGUUUUUUCUUCCUUUUUGAGGAUGAUUGAAGAAGGGGAGAAGAGAUAGAGUUUCUUCUCUUCUCUUCUCUUCUCUUCUCCGUCCGAUGGAGGAGAGAAAACAACAUAUCCAUCCACCCCUUUGUGAACCUUGUGAUGUUUUUCUUUUUAUGAACUAUAUUGUUGUGAUUUUGUAGUUCUUUGGAU
rnacentral:misc_RNA from 1 species